UUGGAGGGCAAGUCUGGUGYCAGCAGCCGCGGUAAUUCCAGCUCCAAUAGCGUAUAUUAAAGUUGUUGCGGUUAAAAAGCUCGUAGUUGAAUCUGUGUGUCACGAUGCUGGUUCACCGCUCGCGGUGUUUAACUAGCAUGCCGUGAGACGUCCUACCGGUGGGCUUAGCUCUUCACGGGCGGUCCAACUAAUAUCCCAUCGCGGUGCUCUUCGUUGAGUGUCGAGGUGGGCCGGUACGUUUACUUUGAACAAAUUAGAGUGCUUAAAGCAGGCUAUCUUCGCCUGAAUACUGUGUGCAUGGAAUAAUGGAAUAGGACCUCGGUUCUAUUUUGUUGGUUUUCGGAACCCCGAGGUAAUGAUUAAUAGGGACAGAUGGGGGCAUUCGUAUUGCGACGUUAGAGGUGAAAUUCUUGGAUCGUCGCAAGACGGACAGAAGCGAAAGCAUUUGCCAAAAAUGUUUUCAUUAAUCAAGAACGAAAGUUAGAGGUUCGAAGGCGAUCAGAUACCGCCCUAGUUCUAACCAUAAACGAUGCCAGCUAGCGAUCCGCCGAAGUUCCUCCGAUGASKCGGCGGGCAGCUUCCGGGAAACCAAAGCUUUUGGGUUCCGGGGGAAGUAUGGUUGCAAAGCUGAAACUUAAAGGAAUUGACGGAAGGGCACCACCAGGAGUGG
rnacentral:rRNA from 1 species